UUUUAAAAGAUGCACAUUCCGUGCAUAGAGGUUAUGCGAAUGAUGUCAUAACCAUAGCAACAGCUGGCAGUUGGCAUUUUAUCUCAGAAUUCCGUGGUAUUUUUCAAAAAUCUCCAUUCAAUUUUCCUAUGCCACUCCUUUUUGCCACUCCUUUUUUGUUUAUUUUUAAGCAUUCGCAUACCCUCUAUAGUCCAUAGCUGUAAAAGUAAUAGACACUGCCAACAUUUUCUUUAUACCAAAUUUACCUAUGAGGGAAUUAAAUAUGGCACUUUAAUUCCUUGCAGUUGACUCAGUGAGACACUUGGAGGAAGAAGGCGACAAAGUGACCCAAAACUGCCAGGAUGACCAGAUUCAUUUGGGCGGAGAUGUAUUUCUAAAGUCGGAUGCUUGGUCCAAAAUACAGUCAAACCAGAGAGACUCCCGGUUUGUCAAAGAAUUGGCGGUGGCAGUAUGGGGCACCAAAAUCUUGGCUGAAAGAAGCCUAACAGGCAAGGUCUGCCCAACAACAAAGACCACAAAGCCUCCUUUGUCACCAGCGAAGCUCCAGAUUUUAAAAGGCUGCUUCAGGGAUUGGCUGAAGGCCAAGAAGCUGGAGGACGCAGAGCUGCAGUCCAGAUUUGGGAAAGUCGGACGCUAUAUAACUGAAAAAAUCAUGGAUAUAAAUCGUUUGAAGAAGAGUGAAUGAAUGAAUGAAUUGUGUUGUGCAUGUAUUUCAACUUUUUGAAUGUUUAAAUUAAUUUUUCAAUGUUCACUUGUUUGUCUUAUACAUUGAUAUCAUUUUCCAAAAUUUAAAAUAUUUGUCAUAAUUGUUAAUUAAUAAUUGUUCCACUAUUUUUUUGUUUAUAUUA